GUUACCCCUCUCUCUCUCGGUUUGGAGACUGCUGGUGGUGUCAUGACCGUUUUGAUCCCAAGGAACACCACCAUUCCCACCAAGAAGGAGCAGGUCUUCUCCACCUACUCCGACAACCAGCCUGGUGUGCUCAUCCAGGUUUAUGAGGGUGAGAGGACCAGGACACGUGACAACAACCUGCUGGGGAAGUUUGAGCUCUCUGGAAUCCCUCCUGCUCCCAGGGGUGUUCCACAGAUCACUGUUUGCUUCGACAUUGAUGCCAAUGGUAUCCUGAACGUGUCUGCUGAGGACAAGACCACCGGGCAGAAGAACAAGAUCACCAUUACCAACGACAAGGGCAGGCUUAGCAAGGAGGAGAUUGAGAAGAUGGUCCAGGAGGCCGAGAAGUACAAGUCAGAGGAUGAGGAGCACAAGAAGAAGGUGGAGUCCAAGAACGCGCUGGAGAACUACGC
rnacentral:lncRNA from 1 species